GAUGAACGCUGGCAGCGUGCCUAAUACAUGCAAGUCGAGCGAACGGACGAGAAGCUUGCUUCUCUGGUGUUAGCGGCGGACGGGUGAGUAACACGUGGAUAACCUACCUAUAAGACUGGGAUAACUUCGGGAAACCGGAGCUAAUACCGGAUAAUAUUUUGAACCGCAUGGUUCAAAAGUGAAAGACGGUCUUGCUGUCACUUAUAGAUGGAUCCGCGCUGCAUUAGCUAGUUGGUAAGGUAACGGCUUACCAAGGCAACGAUGCAUAGCCGACCUGAGAGGGUGAUCGGCCACACUGGAACUGAGACACGGUCCAGACUCCUACGGGAGGCAGCAGUAGGGAAUCUUCCGCAAUGGGCGAAAGCCUGACGGAGCAACGCCGCGUGAGUGAUGAAGGUCUUCGGAUCGUAAAACUCUGUUAUUAGGGAAGAACAUAUGUGUAAGUAACUGUGCACAUCUUGACGGUACCUAAUCAGAAAGCCACGGCUAACUACGUG
rnacentral:rRNA from 1 species